GGCAGGGUAGCAGAGUGGUAAGGAACAGGAUUUGUAAUCGAAAGGUUGCGGUUCAAUUCCUCACUAGGGCA